CAGCAGUCGCCGCGGUAAUACGAAGGGUGCAAGCGUUAAUCGGAAUUACUGGGCGUAAAGCGUGCGUAGGCGGUUUGUUAAGUCUGUUGUGAAAUCCCCGGGCUCAACCUGGGAAUGGCAAUGGAUACUGGCAAGCUAGAGUGUGUCAGAGGAUGGUGGAAUUCCCGGUGUAGCGGUGAAAUGCGUAGAGAUCGGGAGGAACAUCAGUGGCGAAGGCGGCCAUCUGGGACAACACUGACGCUGAGGCACGAAAGCGUGGGGAGCAAACAGGAUUAGAUACCCCAGUAGUCCCUGUCUCUUAUAC
rnacentral:rRNA from 1 species